UACAGAGGGUGCGAGCGUUAAUCGGAAUUACUGGGCGUAAAGGGUGCGUAGGUGGUUAUAUUAGUUAGGUGUGAAAGCCCCGGGCUUAACCUGGGAAUUGCGCCUAAUACUGUGUAGCUAGAGGACUGGAGAGGAGACUGGAAUUUACGGUGUAGCGGUGAAAUGCGUAGAUAUCGUAAGGAAGACCAGUGGCGAAGGCGGGUCUCUGGACAGUUCCUGACGCUGAGGCACGAAGGUCAGGGGAGCAAACGGG
rnacentral:rRNA from 1 species